UCUGCUUAGAAAGGAGCAAAGAGCUGGUUGCUCCGUCCCGUCCUGCUUCUGCUACUGGUUUUGGAAAAGCUUAGUACAGAAAAAAGAAGCUAGAGGAAGCUAAAGACAAGCCACACAAGAAGCCAAUGACUUCUGUCUUGCAGAAACUCAGGAAGAAGGAUGGGUGUGUGUGUACUUCCUGACCCUCUGAAGAUACCCAGCCUCCUGUGCCUAACCCCAGCUGGAAGGCCUUAGGACUUCUCAGCAGAAGCUCCACCCUCCUGGAAGAAGACCCACAAUGCCACCUACCUUGGAGGGCCACUGCAUUCUGGGUGACAAGGAACUUCAACUCCAUACUGGCCAAUGGGAAGAGCAGCUCCAUGAUCGAGCAGGCCAUGGCUGGGUAUUGCCCCUCCAUCUUCCAGAAGUAGCACAUCAGGUGUCUUGGGAUACAUACCUGGGAAUACAGUCCUGUGAAAACAAGGCUCUCCACACCAGCUGAGACCGAGGACCAAACAGCUAAACGCCAGACGGCCCAAGAAACCCCAAAUAAAAGCCUAUAUGACUA